CAGCAGCCGCGGGAAUACGAAUGGGGCGAGCGUUGCUCGGAAUGACUGGGCGUAAAGGGCGCGUAGGUGGUACGGACAGUCAGAUGUGAAAUUCCCGGGCUCAACCUGGGGGCUGCAUUUGAUACGUCCGAACUAGAGUGUGGAAGAGGGUCGUGGAAUUCCCAGUGUAGAGGUGAAAUUCGUAGAUAUUGGGAAGAACACCGGUGGCGAAGGCGGCGACCUGGUCCAUUACUGACGCUGAGGCGCGAAAGCGUGGGGAGCAAACAGGAUUAGAUACCCCUGUAGUCCCUGUCUCUUAACC
rnacentral:rRNA from 1 species